UACAGAGGGUGCGAGCGUUAAUCGGAAUUACUGGGCGUAAAGGGCGCGUAGGCGGUUAUUUAAGUUGGAUGUGAAAUACCUGGGCUUAACCUGGGAGUGGCAUUUAAUACUGAGUAGCUAGAGUACAGAAGGGGCAACUGGAAUUCUCGGUGUAGCGGUGAAAUGCGUAGAUAUCGAGAGGAACACCUGCGGCGAAGGCGGGUUGCUGGGCUGAUACUGACGCUGAGGCGCGAAAGCCAGGGGAGCGAACGGG
rnacentral:rRNA from 1 species